rnacentral:rRNA from 1 species
UUACCACCGGGAUGUUCAUAACCCUUUGUUGUCCGACUCUGUUGCCUCCGGGGCGACCCUGCCUUCGGGCGGGGGCUCCGGGUGGACACUUCAAACUCUUGCGUAACUUUGCAGUCUGAGUAAACUUAAUUAAUAAAUUAAAACUUUUAACAACGGAUCUCUUGGUUCUGGCAUCGAUGAAGAACGCAGCGAAAUGCGAUAAGUAAUGUGAAUUGCAGAAUUCAGUGAAUCAUCGAAUCUUUGAACGCACAUUGCGCCCCCUGGUAUUCCGGGGGGCAUGCCUGUUCGAGCGUCAUUUCACCACUCAAGCCUCGCUUGGUAUUGGGCAACGCGGUCCGCCGCGUGCCUCAAAUCGACCGGCUGGGUCUUCUGUCCCCUAAGCGUUGUGGAAACUAUUCGCUAAAGGGUGUUCGGGAGGCUACGCCGUAAAACAACCCCAUUUCUAAGGUUGACCUCGGAUCAGGUAGGGAUACCCGCUGAACUUAAGCAUAU